CGUGUCUGCACAGCUUUUCUCCCUGGAUGGAAGCCGAGUGCCUCUGGCCUGGAGCCUGUCCCUCAACCUGUCCCUCCACCAGGGAAAGCUGCAAAAGGGAGUCUGUGGCCUUUCCAUCCUGGGUCUGUGGGAGUUCAUCAGAGCAGAGGGUGGACUCCUGACCCAGCCUGUCCUCAUGGGAGUGCUGCAAGCUGACACCUAAGAGAGAACUGCCUGAUUCCUAGGGUGACCUACCCUGUCAACAUAGGAGGGUGUCUCUGUUGCAAAGGCCUGGGACGAGGUGGCCGGCAGAGCUUCAGAGAGCCAUUCUGGGCAAGAAGGUGGCUGCCUACAAGCCAGGAAGAGAGCCGUCACCAGAACCUGACAGUGCUGGUCCCUUGAUCCUGGACUUCCAGCCUCCAGAGCUGUGAGAAAUAAGCCACUCAGUCUAUGAUAUUUUGUUAUGGCAGCUCGAGCAGAUGAAUACAGAUGUUAAGAAGCUCAGAACGCACAGUAAAGGGUGAUACUACUUGUCCAGGUAAGAGAGGUGUCCCAGCCUACAGCCAAGCUGGAUGGACCAAUGCUGAGCCUUGCCUUGAGGCACUGGAAGGGUGCUCCACAGGAAUCAGGAGCUGAGAAGCGCAGAACUGCAAAAUGGCCCCUAGCCCCUGCUUUUUCUUGGAGGAGCUGCAGCUACCUGACAGCUCUCUGUUCUCACAGGGGUUAGGACCCAGGAGCUGCCCUUCCAUGAUCACAGCUGGCCCAGGCUUCUGCUGACAGGCGAGGCUGGGCCGGCGUGCCAGCAGAACCUCUUAUCUCCUUCAUGUGGAGUGAGUGGAAGGCAGGGGACCUUUCUUGACACUUGGAAGAGACAAAGACCAGCUCUACCAUGACUGACCACGAGACCCUGGAUAAAUCACUGACUCAUUCCUGUCCUCAGUCUCUCCAGCUGUAGAUGGGAUGGCAAUGUCUACCUCUGCGGACUUUUGGAAGGAUCAGUUGCAUGUUAGUCUAAGUGGAACUGAUGCUCAGCUGGUACACAGUGCUAUGACCGCUCUGCCUCCCGUUGUCAGGGGCUGGAGUCCCUUCUGGCUGGCAGCUGCCUGCACCUCGUCAGGGAUUAAACCAUUUUACUCUACCCCUUGGAACUAAAUCAAGUAUUCUUAAGCUCCAAUUACCUGCUACCAACCAGCCCACCUGGUAAAUACAUUUCUAUGGGGCUGGCCUCCCGUGCUGAGCUUUUACUUCUCUGUAACAGGGAGGUGUGGAUUCUCGAGUGCCUCCCUGUGAGGGAGACAUUUGGUCACCUGGAGCCUCUGGCCAGUAGUCUGUUUUAAGCAGCACCAUUGUUCCUGCUAUUCUCCCCUUUCCAGAAUGCCUAGUGGGAAGCCUGCACACUUCCCCCACCUCUUAUUCCUGACCAUAGUCUGAGAGCUCUGGGAGGGAAUGAGGGACUGGGGGACAGUCAAGCAAGGGGAGAGAGCCAGCAGGGACAGCCUCUUCAAGUGACCUUCCCAGAUUUGUUUUGAAAGUAUCAUUCAGUCUUACAUCUACUCACGAUGCUAUAUUUAUCUAUGAAAGAGGCAGGAUAUUUUUGAGCGGAUGUAAUUUCUGGCUCUCUCCCUUCAAGAAAAAAAAAAGUGUCAUUCCUAUUCAUUUCUUCCUGCCUCUGCUUCUGUCUCUCACACAUUUCUUUUGUAUAAACAUACCCCCCACACAUGCACACACACGCACAUACACAUACACACAUCCGUGCACACACAUAGAGGCAGGCACAUGGUCCAAGAGCUAAAAUUCCGUGACUCUCUAUGGCUGAUUCAGACUUAUCUAGCAUGGUGGAUAGAAAGGCAGAUAGACAGGAGGAACAGGAGAAACAAAGAGGAAACUGUGAGUUUGUUCAUUUAUAUUUUUGCCUCCAAGUUCACUGAACACUUAAUGUUACGGGAAAUUGGAUGAGGGCAAGAGAAAGCUCUGAGAGACACCUGCCAGGGUAGCAGCUGGGUGAACCAGGUCAGAAAGAGCACUUUUCUCUCUACCUUCCACGAAGUCACAGAGAGCAGAGGAACCCCAUUUGCAGGUGACCCAAAGCUGAGACCUGGGGUAAGGGAAGUCUGAAGCAAGAUUCAGGAUUUUUAGGGCAAGCCUGAGGAAGAGUAAGAUGAACUGUUACCAGGAUGAGCAUCUUUCAUUCUGCAUUUAAAUUAAAUUACCAACACAAAUGCCUCAAGUGUGGGUUGGAGGAUUCCUACCUACAGGGUGAGCAGGUGCCUCCUGUGUGAUCUGGGCGCUGGGACUGUCAGAGCUGCAAAGGUCUCCAGGCAGUAAAUCAGAAAGGGAGGAGGUGGGGGAGCACUUGGCUCCAGGUCUCUUUAGCUGAGUCACAGACAGAUGCUGGGUUCAGGUAUCAAAUAAUUGAAGAGAGAGAGAAAAAUGACCAAAUCUAGAGAAAGGACCAAAUUUGAGACCCAGAGAACAUCAGCAGAAGGUGUCUUACAGGCUCAAGAACCAGGGAUUUGGGAAGGGAGAGACAGGGUUGGGAUCUGGUAGAAAGGGGACAAGAGUUGACCUAAGGGACUCAAACCUAAGGUAAUUUCCUAGUGGAACUUGGGCUGUGCUGGGGGCUGCAGAGCCCUGAGCUGCCCCUCCCAAGACAGCAGUUCCAGCGGCUUUUGGAGAAUAGGACAUUACUUAGUGUAUGGAUGAGUGGGUAAAUGCUUGCUUGAGUUCGGGGUGGGGACCCUUCCUGGAGGGGCCACCAGGUCACAGAGGAAGCCAGACAGUGUGGGAGUCCCUGGGGAUAGCACCCUCCAUACCAAGGUUUACAGCUAUGGGGGGCAGGAACCAUCACUAGAGUCAGAAGCUCUAGGCCUGUCGCUGACUCGCUGGAGGACCGUGUGCAGCUCAUCAAACCUCUCUGAGCCUCAAUUUCUUCAUCUGUUACAGGAGAGUGGUGAUAAUAUUGCAGAGGGCUUUGUGAGGAUUGAAUGAGCUGGGCCAUGGAAAAGGACUUUUAAAAAGCGCUUUCUAAAUGGUAAAGCACAAUACAAGUGUUGUUUUACUUUUCUCUAAGAAAAGGCAGAGGGCUUCUAUGGAAAGAACAUGGGCUUUGAAAAUUGACAGGUGGAAUCCUGGUUAUAUCCCCUGUAAGCUGUGUGGCCAUGGGGAAGUUCUAGAACAUAAGUAGAUAGGUGUAUAGCCAUCCCUUCCACCCACUGUUUCUUAACAAUUAAAGUAUAAUUUACAUACAGUAAUUCAUUCUUUUUAGUAUACAGUACUGUGAGUUUUGACAAAUAAAUACAUUGGUGUAACCUGCAUCACAAUCAAGAUACAAGCCGAAUGGUCCCAAGAUUCUAAACACUUCCCCCAUCUGCUCUGUAUUGAUCUCCAUACAUCCAGCUACUGGCAAUCACUUAACCAGUUUUUUGCUCCUAUAGUUUGCCUUUUCCAGAAUGUCAUAUGAAUGGAAGCAUGCAGUAUUUUGCCUUUCAAGUCUGGCUUUUCUCACUGAGCAUAAUAAUGCUUUUGAGAUUCAUCCCUGUGGCAGUAUGUGUCAGUAGUCACUCCUUUAUAUUGCCAAAUAGUACUCUAUGAACGUACUACAGUUUAUCAAUUGCCCAGCUGAGGGACAGCUGGGUUGUUUCCUGUUUGGGGCCAUUGUGAGUAUAACUGCAGUAAACACGCAGAUUUCUAUGUGAACCUGUUUUCCCCUACGGUAAAUCCUAGGAAUAGAAUAACUGGGCUGUAUGUUAGAUGUUUGUUUAUAAGAAACUGGUAAAGUCUUUUCCAAUGUGGCUCUACCCUGUUUCAUUCCCGCCAGCACUGAAUGAGUAUUCCAAUUGUUUCUCUGUGGGUGGCAAGCCAUCCAGGUGCUGAGGCAAGAGACCGAGAGCAUGAGCUGUUCCAGUAUAAUAAAAUAUAUAAAACAACAAGAGUUAUACUAGAUCUAGAUCAUAGACAUGAUUAUGUAUGAAUAUCAUUAAUCAUUAGUUUGUAGCAAUUACUCUUUAUUCCAAUAUUAUAAUAAUCCUCGAUCUAUAACCAUAACCUAGGAAAAACCAGGCCAUACAGAGAUAGGAGCUGAGGGGACAUAGUGAGAAGUGAGCAGAAGACAAGAGUGCGAGCCUUCUGUUAUGCCCGGACAGGGCCACCAGAGCGCUCCUUGGUCUAGCGGUAACACCAGCGUCUGGGAAGAUGCCGUUGCCAACAGACUGUGGUCUAGCAGUAGUGUCAGUGUCAAGGAAAAACACCCGCUACUUAGCAGACUGAGAAACGGAGUCUCCCUUUCCCUGGGGGAGUUUAGAGAAGACUCUACUCCUCCACCUCUUGUGGAGGGCCUGACAUGAGUUAGGCCUGCCCACAGUUAUCUGGAGACCUAACCGUCUCCCUGUGAUGCUGUGCUUCAGUGGUCACACUCCUAGUCCGCUUUCAUGUUCCAUCCUGUACACCUGGCUCUGCCUUUUAGAUAACAGUAGCAAAAUAAGUGAAAGUACUAAAAGUCUCUGAUAAGCAGAAAUAAAUGCAUAAGCUGUCUCUCUCUCUCUCCCUCUCUCUCUCUGCCUCAGCUGCCAGGCAGGGAGAGGCCCCCUGUCCAGUGGACACGUGACCUUACCUAUCACUGGAGAUGGCUCACACUCCUUACUUUGUCCCUUGUCUUGUAUCCAAUAAAUAUCAGCACAGCCUGGCAUUCGGGGCCACUACCAGUCUCUGCAUCUUGGUGGUAGUAGUCCCCUGGGCCCAGCUGUCUUUUCUUUUA